rnacentral:tRNA from 8 species
CGCGGGGUGGAGCAGUUCGGUAGCUCGUCGGGCUCAUAACCCGAAGGUCGGAGGUUCAAAUCCUCCCCCCGCUACCA